rfam:Octopus bimaculoides Scaffold203489_contig_1, whole genome shotgun sequence.
AAAAAGGCCCUUUUAAGGGCCCCUACAUUGUCUACAAAGUCUUUCCU